GCUGGGCGUGGUGGUAGGCGCCUGUAAUCCCAGCUACUCGGGAGGUUGAGGCAGGAGAAUCGCUUGAACCCGGGAGGUGGAGGUUGCAGUGAGCCGAGAUUGCACCACUGUACUCAAGUCUGGGCAACAGGGUGAGACCAUGUUGCAAAAAUAAAUAAAUAAAUAAAUAAAAUAAAAAAGAUUUAAAAUAGAUUUUAGCUUUUUUUUUUGACACGGAGUUUUGCUCUUGUUGCCCAGGCUGGAGUGCAAUGGCGCAAUCUUGGCUCACUGCAACCUCUGCCUCCUGGGUUCAAGUGAUUCUCCUGCCUCAG
rnacentral:sRNA from 1 species